UGGGGAAGUUUUGGAUCAAUGGGCAACCGUACGAUCCAGCAAUGCCGCGUGAGUGAAGAAGGCCUUCGGGUUGUAAAGCUCUUUUGUCAGGGAAGAAACGGUAGUAGCGAAUAACUAUUACUAAUGACGGUACCUGAAGAAUAAGCACCGGCUAACUACGUGCCAGCAGCCGCGGUAAUACGUAGGGUGCAAGCGUUAAUCGGAAUUACUGGGCGUAAAGCGUGCGCAGGCGGUUGUGUAAGUCAGAUGUGAAAUCCCGCC
rnacentral:rRNA from 1 species